CCGAAAUUAAGCGUCCUUGGGCGAGAGUAGUACUAGGAUGGGUGACCUCCUGGGAAGUCCUCGUGUUGCACCCCUGGG
rnacentral:rRNA from 1 species